ensembl:lncRNA
UUCUUGAAGAGAUCUCUAGUCUUUCCCAUUCUAUUGUUUUCCUCUGUUCCUUUUUGUUGUUCACUUAAGAAGGCUUUCUUCUCUCUCCUUGCUGUUCUCUGGAAUUUUGCAUUCAGUUGGGUAUAUCUUUCCUUUUCUCCUUUGCCUUUCACUUCUCUUCUUUUCUCAGCUCUUUGUAAAUUCUCCUCAGACAACCAUUUUGCCUUGUUGAAUUUCUUUAUCUUGGGGAUGGUGUUGGUCACACCUCCUGUACAGUGUUACAAAACUCUGUAACAGGUUACAAAACUCUGUAACAGUUUCUUCAGGUUCUCUGUCUAUCCGAUUUAAUCCCUUGAAUCUAUUUCUCACUUCCACUGUAUAAGCAUAAGGGAUUUGCUUUAGGUCAUACCUGAGUGGUCUAGUGGUUUUCCCGACUUUCUUCAGUUUGUCUGAAUUUUGCAAUAAGGAGCUCAUGAUCUGAGCCAUAGUCAGCUCCAUGUCUUGUUUUUGCUGACUAUAUAGACCUUCUCCAUCUUUGGCUGCAAAGAAUAUAAUCUGUCUGAUUUCAUUAUUGAUCAUCUGUUGUUGUCUUGUGUGUAGAGUUGUCACUUGUGUUGUUGGAAGAGGGUGUUUCCUGUGACCAGUGUAUUCUCUUGGCAAAACUCUGUUAGCCUUUGCUCUGCUUCAUUUUGUACUCCAGGGCCAAACUUGCCUGUGACACCAGGUAUCUCUUGACUUCCUACUUUUGCAUUCCAGUCCCCUAUGAUGAAGAGGACAUCUUUUUUUAGUGUUCAUUGUAGAAGGUCUUGUAGCUUUUAAUAGAACCUUUCAACUUCAGUUUCUUCAACAUUAGUGGCUAGGGCAUAGACUUGGAUUACUGUGAUGUUGAAUGGGUUGCCUUGGAAAUGAACUGAGAUUAUUUUGUUGUUUUUCAGCUUGCGCCAAAGAAUAUGAAGGCUACUCCAUUUCUUCUAAGGGAUUCUUGCCCACAGUAGUAGAUAUAAUGGUCAUUUGAAUUAAAUUCACUCAUUAUGGUCCGUUUUCGUUCGCUGAUUCCUAAAAUGUCGUUGUUCACUCUUGCCAUCUCCUGUUUGACCGCUUCCAAUUUACCUUGACUCAUGGACCUAAGAUUCCAGGUUCCUAUGCAGUAUUGCUCUUGACAGCAUUGGACUUUACUUUCACCACCAAAGACAUCCACAACUGGACGUUGUUUCCGCUUUGGCUCAGCCUCUUCAUUCUUUCUAGAGCUCUCUUCCCCAGUAGCAUAUUGGACACCCACCAUCCUGGGUGUUUCUCUUUUGGGGUGCACUCCAAGGCCACAGACAUAGAAGCUCAUGUGCUUAGGGCCCGUCCAGGCCUCAUCCUGUGUACCUCUUCAUCUAGCUAUUUAUUUAUAUCCUUUAUAAUAAUCUGUUACACAUAAAUAAAAUAUCUUCCUGCAUUCUGUGAGCUGUUUUAGUAAAUUACUGAAGCUGAGUAUGGGGUCCUGGGAACUUCUAGUUUAUAACCAGUUGGUCAGAAGAUGCCUUGGAACUUGUGACCAGUAUCUGAAGUGGGUAUAUUCUUGUGGGCCUCCAUUCUUAACCUGCAGGGUCUGUGCUGACUCUGGGUGAUAUCAGAAUUGAAUUGAAUUCUUGGGUAAAUAGUUGGUAACAGAGAAUUGGAGUAAUGGUUGGUGUCAGAGAAAAAUCCCCCCAACAUCUUGAUCACAGAAUUUCUAGAUAACAUCAAUAAGC